CCCGGGGACAGAAAUUACUUAAAA
rnacentral:rRNA from 1 species